CAAUUCUUCAGUGCUCAGGCUUCUUUACACUUCAACUCUCAACAUGAAUACUGGAAAAAUCAUAGCUUUGACUAGAUGGACCUUUGUCAGGAAAGUGAUUUCUGCCCACUUAACUGUGAAAAAGAUUUUUGCUGGUGACAUUAAAGAAGACACUGAGGACAUCACCUAAGAGAUGAUUUUGAACAGUAUGGGAAAGCUGAAGUGAUUGAAAUCAUGACUGACUGAGGCAGUGGCAAAAUAAGAGGCUUUGCUUUCAUAGCCUUUGAUGACCAUGACUCCAUAGACAAGAUAAGACUCCGUAGACAAGGUUCAGAAAUACCACAUUGUGAAUGGCCACAACUGUGCGACCCAUGGACAGAGGAAAUCUUGGAGGCCCUUAUGGUGGUGGAGGCCAAUACUUUGCCAAACCACGAAGCCAAGGUAUUUAUGGCACUUCCAGCAGCUGCAGUAGAUAUAGCAGUGGCAGGAGGUUUUAAUUACUGUCAGGAGACAAAGCUUAGCAGGAAAGGGGAUUCAGAGUAGUGACAGGGAAGCUACAGAUUACAACAGGUUUGUGAAUUCAGCCAAACACAAUGGUGGCAGAGCCCGCAAAGAAGACAUGCUUUAGAGUAUGCCCAUGAGUAUGGAUGGGCAAAAAACUUGAGGACCAUGUUUGUGAUUAGUUGUAUAACUGAUUAUUUUAGCUUCUGUUCUGUGGAAGGUGUAAGGCAAUUCCAAUAAAGGACUGUAAACUCUGA